rnacentral:rRNA from 1 species
AGAGUUUGAUCAUGGCUCAGGAUGAACGCUAGCGAUAGGCUUAACACAUGCAAGUCGAGGGGCAGCAUGGUCUUAGCUUGCUAAGGCUGAUGGCGACCGGCGCACGGGUGCGUAACGCGUAUGCAACUUGCCUCACAGAGGGGGAUAACCCGUCGAAAGACGGACUAAUACCGCGUACACUUGGAGGGAGGCAUCUUCCACCAAGGAAAUGAAUUUCGCUGUGAGAUAGGCAUGCGUCCCAUUAGCUAGUUGGUGAGGUAACGGCUCACCAAGGCGACGAUGGGUAGGGGAACUGAGAGGUUUAUCCCCCACACUGGUACUGAGACACGGACCAGACUCCUACGGGAGGCAGCAGUGAGGAAUAUUGGUCAAUGGGCGAGAGCCUGAACCAGCCAAGUCGCGUGAAGGAAGACAGUCCUAAGGAUUGUAAACUUCUUUUAUACGGGAAUAACGGGCGAUACGAGUAUUGCAUUGAAUGUACCGUAAGAAUAAGCAUCGGCUAACUCCGUGCCAGCAGCCGCGGUAAUACGGAGGAUGCGAGCGUUAUCCGGAUUUAUUGGGUUUAAAGGGUGCGUAGGUUGUUCGGUAAGUCAGCGGUGAAACCUGAGCGCUCAACGUUCAGCCUGCCGUUGAAACUGCCGGGCUUGAGUUCAGUGGCGGCAGGCGGAAUUCGUGGUGUAGCGGUGAAAUGCAUAGAUAUCACGAGGAACUCCGAUUGCGAAGGCAGCUUGCCAUACUGCGACUGACACUGAAGCACGAAGGCGUGGGUAUCAAACAGGAUUAGAUACCCUGGUAGUCCACGCAGUAAACGAUGAUUACUAGGAGUUUGCGAUAUACCGUCAAGCUUCCACAGCGAAAGCGUUAAGUAAUCCACCUGGGGAGUACGCCGGCAACGGUGAAACUCAAAGGAAUUGACGGGGGCCCGCACAAGCGGAGGAACAUGUGGUUUAAUUCGAUGAUACGCGAGGAACCUUACCCGGGCUUGAA